AAAGUGUUUUCUGCGUUACUUUUUUAGUUAUAACAUUAUGUUAGGCUGUUGGCACAGGAACCCUGAGGAACGUCCAUCAUUUGAUCAGCUUUAUGAGGUGCUAGAGGAGCUUUUACAACAAAAAACUAGAACAUACAUCAAUGUUACUUACUUCGAGGAACAAGACAAGGAGGAAGCUAUUUUGAUAUGAAUUUACGAAACAGACCUCUACAUCGAACUCAAGUGAAAGACUUCGCCAUGGAAGAACAAAAUCGAUGAUCGAAGAUUUUUUCACCACUUCAAGAAUAGAAGGGGGACGGGGGAUGUAGAAUACUGGCAUUCAAUGACAGUUUGGGUGUUCGAGUAAACGCGUGUAUGAACACUCUUCCUUGUGUUUUUUUUUUUUUUGUUGUUGUUGUUGUUAUUGUUUAAUUUAAAUAUGGUAAGCUUCCAUUCUAAUUUGGUUAUACCUAUGCGUGUAUAUUGAAACUAUUUUUCCCCUGAAACAUAGCCUUCUUUAGAAGUAUUUUGCUCGGAGGUAUAAUAAGAUGUGAGUCAGACAUUCGGCAACUUUUGUAAUAAUCAACCAGUCUCUACAAUUUAACGUAGCCUAGAGGUAAAUGAUAUCUGGUCUUUACUUUAAAGUACCGUCCCCCGGCGAUUAUAAACUCAUAAUGAUAACGGUAUAUCCUUGUUUUAACUUUAGCAGCUGAUUUAUCUUAUUAUCAUACAAAAGAAGUUAACAAAGUUGAAAUCAAAUUUCAACGUUUUCUUUUCUUUUUUUCCUUACAACACAUUUUUACGGGACCUCAGUUCAAAGACGUGAUCAUAGCUCAUCUAUGCAUAAAAAUCCGCAGAUAUUCAUAAGUAAUGUAAAAUAAUGAUUUAUUUGUACUUAAAUGGAAACUUGGCAAACUGUAAUGAGAUCCACAAUAAAACUGAAUGGUAAAUUAA